CCAUGUUGAUCCUGCCAGUAGCAUAUUCAUGCAUCACAGAUUAAGCCAUGCACAUGUAAGUGCCCACAUCCGGUACAGUGAAACUGUGAAAGGCUCAUCAAAUCAGUUAAGGUUCAUUUGAUAGCUCAAUCUGUCACUUGGCAACUGUAUAUGCCGAGGAGCUUUGAGCUCCAGUGAUGUGCACCAAUCCCAGCUGCUUUGGUGACUCUAGAUGAAUUUGGGCCAAUCACAUGUUCCUGUGACAGUAAUAACACAUUCUGAUGUCUGCCCUAUCAACUUUUGAUGGAACGUUCUGUGCCUAGCAUGGUGACCCUGGGUAACAGGGAAUCAGGGUUUGAUUCUGGAGAGGAAGCCUGAGAAACUGCAUCCAACAAAGUUGGCAGGCACAGAAAUUACCCACUCCCAACUCGGGGAGGAAGUGAUGAAAAUUAACAAUACAGGACUCUUUCGAAGGCCAGAAAUUUGAAUGGGUCCACUUUAAAUCCUUUAACGAAGAUACAUUGGCUGCAGUAUUUUCAGCUCCAAUAGUAUAUGUUAAAUUUGCUGCAGUUAAAAGAUCAUAGUUCGACCUUGGGAUCGAGCUGGUGGGCUGCUGCAAGGUGAGGUACCACCUGGCCCAGCCAAUGCUUCUCGAUUCCCCCUUGAUACUCUUGACUAAGUACCAUAGGGAUCGAAAGCAUUUAGUUCAAAGAAAUUAGAGUGUUCAAAGCAGGCCGGUCCCAUGAAUACAUCAGCUGGGUAUAAUGGUAUGAGACUCUGGUUCUAUUUUCUUGAAUUUCAGAACUGGGGCCAUGAUUGAGAGAGAUGGCCAGGGGUAUUCAUAUUGUGCAGCUAGAGGUGAAAUUCUUGGACUGGCGCAUAAUGAACCAAAGUGAAAGCAUUUGCCAAGAAUAUUGUCAUAAAUCAAGAAUGAAAGUCAGAGGUUCGAAGACGAUCAAAUACCAUUGUAGUUCACACCAUAAAUGAUGCCGACCAGAGAACCGAAUGCGUGGUUGCCAUGACCCGCCAAACAGCUUCCAGUAAACCAGAGUGUUUGGGUUGCGGGAGAAGUAUGUCUGCAAAGCUGGAACUUAAACAAAUUGACAGAAGGGCACCACAGGAGUGGAUCCAGCGGCUUCAUUUGAUUCAACACAGGAAACAUCACCUGGCCCGGACACAGAAAGGAUUGACAGAUGGAUAUCUCUUUUUCGAUUCUUUGGUUGGUGGUGCAUGGCCGUUCAUAGUUAGUGAAGCAAUUUGUCUGGUUAAUUCCAAUAAGAACUGAGACUCCUCCUUGCUAACUGGUUAUGCGACCCCCAGCGACUGGCGUUCAACUCCUUAGAAGGACAAGUGCCAUUCAGCAACACAAAAUUGAGCAAUAACAGGUCUUUGAUGCGCUUAGAUGUACUGCACAUGCAUGUUACUGAAUGGAUCAUAUGUGUCAAUCUGCGGGAAACCUGCUGAACGCCGUUCAUGAUAGGAGAUUGCAAUUAUUUCCAUGAACGAGGUAUUCCUAGUAAAUUCAGGUCAUAAUCUCACAUUUAUUAGUCCUUGCCCUUUGUACUAUGGGAUGUACUGACCCACUAGGCUCUGCCCUGUGACAUCACUGUGUGCUGGUGGCACCAGAACCAGCAGAAUGGCCGUAAAAAGCCCUAUGCGUGCUAAACCUAUAAAAAUUGCUCUG
rnacentral:rRNA from 1 species